rnacentral:rRNA from 1 species
AGUGAACGCUGGCGGUAGGCCUAACACAUGCAAGUCGAACGGCAGCACAGUAAGAGCUUGCUCUUACGGGUGGCGAGUGGCGGACGGGUGAGGAAUACAUCGGAAUCUACUUUUUCGUGGGGGAUAACGUAGGGAAACUUAUGCUAAUACCGCAUACGACCUACGGGUGAAAGCAGGGGAUCUUCGGACCUUGCGCGAUUGAAUGAGCCGAUGUCGGAUUAGCUAGUUGGCGGGGUAAAGGCCCACCAAGGCGACGAUCCGUAGCUGGUCUGAGAGGAUGAUCGGCCACACUGGAACUGAGACACGGUCCAGACUCCUACGGGAGGCAGCGGUGGGGAAUAUUAGACAAUGGGCGCAAGCCUGAUCCAGCCAUACCGCGUGGGUGAAGAAGGCCUUCGGGUUGUAAAGCCCUUUUGUUGGGAAAGAAAAGCAGCAGGUUAAUACCCCGCUGUUCUGACGGUACCCAAAGAAUAAGCACCGGCUAACUUCGUG